rnacentral:rRNA from 1 species
UGAGGAAUAUUGGUCAAUGGGAGAGAUCCUGAACCAGCCAAGCCGCGUGAGGGAAGACGGCACUACGUGUUGUAAACCUCUUUUGCUGGGGAACAAAAGCGGGGACGCGUCCCCGUCCGCGUGUACCCGGAGAAAAAGCAUCGGCUAACUCCGUGCC